rnacentral:rRNA from 1 species
UACGGGGGAGCAAGCGUUGUUCGGAUUUACUGGGCGUAAAGGGCGCGUAGGCGGCCACCGCAAGUCGACUGUGAAAUCUCUGGGCUUAACCCAGAAAGGUCAGCCGAUACUGCGGGGCUAGAGUGCAGAAGGGGCAACUGGAAUUCUCGGUGUAGCGGUGAAAUGCGCAGAUAUCAGGAGGAACACCGGUGGCGACGGCGGUUCUCUGGGCCUGUACUGACGCUGAGGAACGAAAGCGUGGGGAGCGAACAGG